UGGUGAGGUAAUGGCUCACCAAGGCGACGAUCCGUAACUGGUCUGAGAGGAUGAUCAGUCACACUGGAACUGAGACACGGUCCAGACUCCUACGGGAGGCAGCAGUGGGGAAUAUUGGACAAUGGGCGAAAGCCUGAUCCAGCCAUGCCGCGUGUGUGAAGAAGGUCUUCGGAUUGUAAAGCACUUUAAGUUGGGAGGAAGGGCUGUAGGCUAAUAUCCUGCGGUUUUGACGUUACCAACAGAAUAAGCACCGGCUAACUUCGUGCCAGCAGCCGCGGUAAUACGAAGGGUGCAAGCGUUAAUCGGAAUUACUGGGCGUAAAGCGCGCGUAGGUGGUUCGUUAAGUUGGAUGUGAAAGCCCCGGGAUCAACCUGGGAACUGCAUCCAAAACUGGCGAGCUAGAGUACGGUAGAGGGUAGUGGAAUUUCCUGUGUAGCGGUGAAAUGCGUAGAUAUAGGAAGG
rnacentral:rRNA from 1 species